rnacentral:misc_RNA from 1 species
AAAACACUCAUGGCAGGGCUUUAUUUUACCAUUGUAGAACAUAAACUAGGUGCUUCAUCAUAAUCAAACAAAUAUUAUUUGGUAAAGAAUUACAACUCAAUGAAACAUUUCUCAAUAUUCUCUUCUAUUCGUUUUAUGCUGUUCAAAUUUUGUGAAUCCACACCUAGUACCAUACAAAUUAUUUACAAUGGUGCCCAUGUAUGAAAAAUCAAAAUGAAAAUGUCCAAGGAAAUGAAACUCAUUCUUACUAGUCUAUGUUGGCAUAUUAGCAUAAAGAAGAGUGAAGAAGAGUUCAACUUCUGAUACACUAAGGAUGAUUUGGAUAAACCGAUUUUGGUUUAGUUCAUUAAACAAUAACGGACCCAUUUGUGCAACUCGCGGUAAAAGCCUUGCCAGCGGCAUCCCUGAUGCUAGACUGCCACCUCCGGACUCGGCUGCCACAUCAGCCACCAGGGCAUCUACUAUUGCUUUCAAUGAUAUUUCUACAACUUUACCAAAUUCAGCACUGCAAGGAAUGAAAAUGGCCAUUCUCACCAUUUCACUAGCUACCAUAGGAUAAGUAAAAUAAUUUGAAAUCAUGGGAUUAAGAUUUUUGAGGAAUAGUGACAUCAAACUCUUAUGUUGAGAGAGUAAGGAAAGCAAAGGGAGAUUUUUUUUAGGUAACAAUUUUGCAUAGUAGGAAAAGCACAAAUCCAUUCAAAUCAGACACAUGCCCAUUUUCUUGAUUGGAAUUAUAUAACAUACCUUGAUAGCACUGCUCGAGCCUCUGCCAUAAGCUGUUCAAAUUUUGUGGUAUCAGUAAUUAUUGUGUCAUCACUGUUGGAACCUAAGGCUAACUUGUAGACUCUAGCAUCUUCAGGCAUCAAGUAUUCUGCCCAGUGAUGUGGACUUCCUCUGCUCAUGAACAAGUCAAGUAUCUGCAUAACAGUUUCAUGAAGAGUCUUGGUGUUGAAGAAAUCCCUCAAUUCUUUUCUCUUAAGAACCUCUGUUGCUGCUGCUUGGAUAUUAGAAAUCAGUGCUGGCAUGCCAUAAUUAGCAAGAAAAUCAGAACUAGCCAAAAAUUUUUGCUGGUCUUCCCUUUCAAUGAGAUCAGCAUCGUCGAGUAAGUGUGAGCUUCCAAGACCACGUGCUGUGUCAAUAUACAAAUGUCUUCCUAGAAUAUUUACUUGAGUUCUGAUAUACAAGCAAAGCAUUGUCAUUGCACAUAACGAGACCACUGUUCUUGUGAAACUUAAGAUUUUGAGUCUGUCCCAUAGCUCAAGUUUCUCUGAAGAUGUCAAAGUGUUGGGCUGACCCUUCCCUUUCAUUAACCUCUCUGUAAGCUGCAAAAGGUCCAACUCUUCUGCUAUCCGGCUGCUUAAAUAGUGCAUUGCAUGAGGCAAAGUUGUUGCAUCAGCUAUUCUCUGAAUGUUCUCAAAAUGGGCUUGCAUUUGAGCCUUAAUAAGCUCCUCAUGUUCCCGUUCAUCCGCAUGCUGUCUCUCCAAAUCAGCAAGGCUACUCUUGUGUGCAUUAUACAAGUUAUAGAGAAAAUAACCACUUCCAAAAACGCCAGCUGCAACAAGAAUUUUCCUCCUAUGCCUUCUCCAAAACUCCCUUAGAGAAAGCAUCUUUGAAGUCAUAGAAUACCCCAAAAGUCCAUGUCUAAGCGUCUGUGCCAUGCAAAUCCAUUUCAGGAAUAUAGAAGCAGGCAAUAAUUGAAAAUGAUAAACCCUCUCAAGAUAGAAGAAAGAAGAACGCCCUUGAAAGGCUAAUAGAGAAACGAAUAAGACCCUUAUCAGUUAUCACAGAUAGGCCUAGGAAAACCCACCGGCAGGCAAUGAGAAGGUAAGCUUCAGCUACCAAAUAAGAGAUAUCGUUAUGUGUAACAUUGAGGGCUUAUAGAGAGGGAGACAGAGAAAGAGGGUAUUGAUGAGAAAUGGGAAUUACAGCAACUUCGAGGGUUUAGAUAAAAUUAAAGAGGCGAAGAUAGCUAGAAUUCCCAUGCAGUGAUGUACUUUUCACGGCUUUCUCCUUUAACCCUUUACCCCUUUACUCUGUCUAUGCUACUUCUACCAGUGAUGUGUUUCGCUAUUUCCAGGAUCCUUUUUCCUAUUACCACUCCAAUUCCACCACCUUCUCGGCUUCUUCACCCCAUAUUGUGAGGCAA